rnacentral:rRNA from 1 species
UUCCGGUUGAUCCCGCCGGACCCCACUGCUAUCGGGAUAGGACUAAGACAUGCUAGUCGCGUGCUUCAGCCAAAACGAGGCACGGCAAACAGCUCAGUAACACGUGGCUAAUCUGCCCUUAGGACGCGAACAACCCCGGGAAACUGGGGCUAAUUCUCGAUAGGUGAAGAACUCUGGAAUGAGUCUUUGCCUAAAAGAGCUUACGUUAUGCUCGUAAGUUUCGCCUAAGGAUGAGGCCGCGACCGAUCAGGUUGUUGGUGAGGUAAUGGCUCACCAAGCCUUUUACCGGUGCGGGCCGUGAGAGCGGGAGCCCGGAGAUGGGCACUGAGACAAGGGCCCAGGCCCUACGGGGCGCAGCAGUCGCGAAAACUUUGCAAUACACGAAAGUGUGACAGGGCUAUCCCGAGUGCCAUCCGCUGAGGAAGGCUUUUACCCAGUCUAGAACGCUGGGGGAAUAAGGAGAGGGCAAGUCUGGUGUCAGCCGCCGCGGUAAUACCAGCUCUCCGAGUGGUGUGGAUGUUUAUUGGGCCUAAAGCAUCCGUAGCUGGCUAGGUAAGUCCCUUGUUAAAUCCACCGAAUUAAUCGUUGGAUCGCGGGGGAUACUGCUUGGCUAGGGGACGAGAGAGGCAGACGGUAUUUUUGGGGUAGGGGUGAAAUCCUAUAAUCCCAGGAAGACCACCAGUGGCGAAGGCUGUCUGCUAGAACGCGCCCGACGGUGAGGGAUGAAAGCUGGGGGAGCGAACCGGAUUAGAUACCCGGGUAGUCCCAGCUGUAAACGAUGCAGACUAGGUGUUUGGACGGCCACGUGCCGUUCUAGUGCCGCAGGGAAGCUGUUAAGUCUGCCGCCUGGGGAGUACGAUCGCAAGAUUGAAACUUAAAGGAAUUGGCGGGGAGCACCACAAGGG